UGGUAUUUCAGAUGCACAGUAUAAUCAGACAAAACUAAUACAAACAUGAUUGUGUGUGUGUGUGUGUGUGUGCUCAUUAGUGAUUUAAGGACAAUACCUGUGUUACUAUCAACCAGCAUCUCAUUUUGGUUCCCAGGGAAGCCUGAAAAGACUGUUUACAAGUGAUUUAUGGGUCAAGUGCUUUUUUGUGGAACAACAACAACAACAAAAAAGUGGAUCCUGGCUAUGGAUGAAACUAUCGUAUAUUGGACAUUGAUUCAAAGCAUAUACUGCCUUCUGGGGAACCCUGUCCCAGCCCUACAGUCGAAUUGGAGAUGAAACUGCGUCUUCAAAAGAUCAUUCCAUUUUUCUAUCAAGCCAGCUGACUCAGGAUGGUGGGAAACAUGGUAAGACCAGUGAAUUCAGUGAUACUGGAGUCAUUGUUGCAUUUCUCUGACUGUGGAGUGAGUUCCUUGGUCAGAAGCAAUACUGUGUGGAAUACUAUGAGAGUGGAUCAGGCAUUCUGUAAGUCCAAGGAUUGUGGUUUUGGCAGAAGCAUUAUGUUCAGGAAAGGCAAAUCCGUAACCAGAAUAAAUACUGCAGUAAGAAAAAAGCAUUGUCUUUCCCACAGAGGAAGUGGUUCAAUGUAGUCAACCUGUCACGAGCUCACUGGUUGGUCACCCCAGGGAAUAGUGCCAUAUUUCAGGCUCAGCGUUGGUCUCUGCUGUUGGCAGAUUUGGCACUCAGCAACCGCUGUAGCCAGAUCAACUUUGAUGAGUGCAAGUCCACGUAGUCAAGCCCAUGCCUAACUUCAAUCUCUGCCUCCAUGGUCACCUUGUUCAUUGGCCCACUGGACACUGACUGGGAUGGUUGGGAAAAGAGGCUGACCGUCCACAGAAUAGAUCAUCCUAUCUACUUGCUUAUUGAGCUCCUUCUCUGUUGAAGUCACCUUUUGAUGAGCGUUUUACAUGGGACACAAGUACCUUUACACAUUUGGAGAAAUCCAUCGACAUACUUCUUCCCUAGGUCACUUUCUCACCCACUUUCCUGCCGUGCUCUUUCCCAGUCCCCAACCAUCCAACCAAUCCACUGGCUAUAGCCUGUGAAUCAGUGAACAAUGGCACAUCUGGCCAUUUCUCCUUCUGA
rnacentral:lncRNA from 1 species